AGUGAACGCUGGCGGUAGGCCUAACACAUGCCAGUCGAACGGCAGCACAGUAAGAGCUUGCUCUUACGGGUGGCGAGUGGCGGACGGGUGAGGAAUACAUCGGAAUCUACUUUUUCGUGGGGGAUAACGUAGGGAAACUUACGCUAAUACCGCAUACGACCUACGGGUGAAAGCAGGGGAUCUUCGGACCUUGCGCGAUUGAAUGAGCCGAUGUCGGAUUAGCUAGUUGGCGGGGUAAAGGCCCACCAAGGCGACGAUCCGUAGCUGGUCUGAGAGGAUGAUCGGCCACACUGGAAGUGAGACACGGUCCAGACGCCUACGGGAGGGAGCAGUGGGGAAUAUUGGACAAUGGGCGCAAGCCUGAUCCAGCCAUACCGCGUGGGUGAAGAAGGCCUUCGGGUUGUAAAGCCCUUUUGUUGGGAAAGAAAAGCAGCAGGUUAAUACCCCGCUGUUCUGACGGUACCCAAAGAAUAAGCACCGGCUAACUUCGUG
rnacentral:rRNA from 1 species